AGCUCGUCGUCCUUCUCCUGCUGCCUCUGCCGGAGCUGGCGGCGUCUCAGCCUGGCCUCGCGAUGAGGCGACGGCAGCCCCAACCUCAGCAGUUGGAUGCAGUUUUGAAUGGCUGCCAGGUGACAAAGACUGGGGUCAUCAUGAACCACCCGGUACUGACCUGCUUCAGCACGUCCAGUAUGAGCUCCUGAAAGACCUCAUUGAUGCCCAUAGAGAGACUUUGUUGGUCCACGCCUUUGCUGAAGGCACCUGUUCCCACCAGUUGGAUCAUCUCCCAAACAGUCAGGCAGCCUCUCCUGCUCAGCUGGAGCUCGGAAUCCCAAAGAUUGCCCUCGGUCCACCCGCUCGCCACGGCCUCAAUCAGCUUUUGCAGAAAGUAUUCCAACUAAACACACACAAACAACUCUCAGAGCUAAAAUACUAAUACAAUAAGACAAAGGAAACAAGUAGAAGCAAGAGCUUCUCACCUCCUCAGUCACAAUGACAAGCGGGUACUUGUCUUCAGACAGGAAGUUGAAAAUGCACCAGAUUUUAAAAGCAUCGUAGUUUGAGAUGAGUAGAUUAUUGGUGCUGAUGUUUUUCUUAUGAGACAGUGUCCAGCACAUCUUGUUGAACUCCAGCACAUCGAAAUCCUCUUGGACCUGCACUUGAAAAAGCAGCAUUCAACUACUAACACUCGGCGUGACAUUCAACAAAUAAACAUUUUGAGAUAUUAAUAAUACAGAACCAA